rnacentral:rRNA from 1 species
GAUGAACGCUGGCGGCGUGCUUAACACAUGCAAGUCGAACGAAGCACUUUAUUUGAUUUCCUUCGGGACUGAUUAUUUUGUGACUGAGUGGCGGACGGGUGGGUAACGCGUGGGUAACCUGCCUUGUACAGGGGGAUAACAGUUGGAAACGGCUGCUAAUACCGCAUAAGCGCACAGCAUCGCAUGAUGCAGUGUGAAAAACUCCGGUGGUAUAAGAUGGACCCGCGUUGGAUUAGCUAGUUGGUGAGGUAACGGCCCACCAAGGCGACGAUCCAUAGCCGACCUGAUAGGGUGACCGGCCACAUUGGGACUGAGACACGGCCCAAACUCCUACGGGAGGCAGCAGUGGGGAAUAUUGCACAAUGGGCGAAAGCCUGAUGCAGCGACGCCGCGUGAGCGAAGAAGUAUUUCGGUAUGUAAAGCUCUAUCAGCAGGGAAGAUAAUGACGUUACCUGACUAAGAAGCACCGGCUAAAUACGUG